UACGUAGGCGGCAAGCGUUAUCCGGAUUUAUUGGGCGUAAAGGGAACGCAGGCGGUCUUUUAAGUCUGAUGUGAAAGCCUUCGGCUUAACCGGAGUAGUGCAUUGGAAACUGGGAGACUUGAGUGCAGAAGAGGAGAGUGGAACUCCAUGUGUAGCGGUGAAAUGCGUAGAUAUAUGGAAGAACACCAGUGGCGAAAGCGGCUCUCUGGUCUGUAACUGACGCUGAGGUUCGAGAGCGUGGGUAGCAAACAGG
rnacentral:rRNA from 1 species